rnacentral:rRNA from 1 species
UACAGAGGUCCCAAGCGUUGUUCGGAAUUACUGGGCGUAAAGGGCGCGUAGGCGGCCUUCUAAGUCGGACGUGAAAUCCCUCGGCUUAACCGAGGAACUGCGUCCGAGACUGAAAGGCUUGAAUCCGGGAGAGGGAUGUGGAAUUCCAGGUGUAGCGGUGAAAUGCGUAGAUAUCUGGAGGAACACCGGUGGCGAAGGCGGCAUCCUGGACCGGCAUUGACGCUGAGGCGCGAAAGCUAGGGGAGCAAACGGG